rnacentral:tRNA from 1 species
GCCGAGGUGGUGGAAUUGGUAGACACGCUAUCUUGAGGGGGUAGUGCCUAUCCAGGCGUGCGGGUUCAAGUCCCGCUCUCGGCA